AAGAACUAACCAGGAUUCCCUUGGUAACGGCGAGUGAAGAGGGAAGAGCCCAGCACCGAAGCCUGCGGUAGUUUUGCUGUUAGGCAAUGUGGUGUGUGGGUCGGCUCGCGGGACCAUCACUCCACUCGAAGUCCAGCAUUGAGUAUGGCAAUCACUGGAUUUGGCCCAUAGAGGGUGAGAGGCCCGUACGGGUGGAGGUUCAGACAUGUACGAUGGUUCACCAGGCCGGCCUCAGAGUCGGGUUGUUUGAGAUUGCAGCCCAAAGAGGGUGGUAAACUCCAUCCAAGGCUAAAUACUGCCACGAGUCCGAUAGCGAACAAGUACCAUGAGGGAAAGUUGAAAAGUACUCUGAAGAGAGAGUAAACAGUACGUGAAGCCGCAUGCAGGUAAACGGGUGGCGUCAAGCUGCGAGCCCGGAGGAUUCAGCUGACUGGGAUGUAGUGCACGCGCGCCUGGUGCGUCGAGAGGCCGGAGUAAGAUGUGGCGGUCCACUCCUCUGCUGGGAGUGGAGUGCGGUCGGUGUGCGCUUGCGUAUGCCGGUUGUCGCUAUGCAUGCCGGGUGGGUGCCGGAGCAUGCCGCUCGUCUGUUGGGCCACCUAGUUAGUGCAUUUUCUCCGUGGUGAACACCACGACCGGUGGAACUGCCAGUCUGCUGUGAUCAAGUCGUGUUCUCCUGGCGCGUUGCUGUGUUGGGUGGGCACGAUCGCAGACGGAGUCGGUGGACGGCGCAGUGGUGCUUCGGUACUGCCGCGUGUUAUCGUGCACUCUCCGUCGUAAGCGGUUAGUGGGGUUGACUAAGUGCUGUGACCUACUUUCCCGCUAGCCGGCGGAUCACAGUGGUGAAAGGGACUGUGCAGGGCACCGGAGUUGUCCAUCUCAUUCAAUAUGGUACUCGGCACGCACGUUACAGGUGUUAUAUACAAUCGGGAUGCGCCGCUGUCUGCCUGGUGUUGGGCCUGACUGUCGUGUUGCCUGCGAAAAGUGGGUCCGGCAGUGGUUUCGAUGCUUGGUAGUCGCAGUGUGUUGCGUAUCUCGGGUGUCUGUGGUACCGGGGAUGAAAUAGUCAGUGGUGCUGUGG
rnacentral:rRNA from 1 species